rnacentral:rRNA from 1 species
AUGAACCGGCAGAGAUUUCUCCCGCAUCCCCAAGCACCGCUACCCACUCGAACCGGGGCCAUCCAACCAUCUUGCCACCCGCAAGCACGCGCCACCACGGUCUUGGACACAUCCACGCCGCCCCGCUGCGAACACCACCAUGAGGCCAAGGAGACCGGAAAGAAGCACCAAGCGACGGGAGGAACCACACCGAAGCCAAGCGGGAGGGAACCACCUCCCCCGCCGACGCGCGGGAGGCCCGAGCCCCCGGUGACGUCGCGGUCGCCGUCCGGACGUGGCAGCAGGGCACACCAGGCCACCCUUGGCCCGGCCAGGCCUGCAACGGGCCCGCAAAGCCCCAUCAGCCAUGCUGCAGCAAGCCGGCACCUACGCCGCCCGCUCCCAGCCGCCAACGCCCCUCUCCCGCCUCCUGGAGGCCACGCCGCCGGCCCGACCCGCCGUCGGCCCUCCCAAACCCAGAUGGGGCCCGAAGGGCCUAGAUCUGGGCUGAGAGGGCUGGUUCAAGCCGAGCCGCCGCGCCACCCCGCCGCCAACGGCGACGCCGUCGCCCAGUCGUUCACCCACGCCGCGCCAGGAUCUCCGCCGCCACGUCGGACCGCCGCUGCCGAAGAGCACCUCCCGGCGCACACCGCCCCACGCCGGGGAGCACCGAGAGGGGAAGGGCUAGAGGCCGCCGCCGCCAGCGACCCAGGGGCCAGGCCCGGCCGCGGGUGCCGGCGACGGCGGCGGGGAGGGAGGGAAGGGGGGGCUCUAGAGGAGGGGGCGCCGGAGCACGGCCGGUCGCCCGCGGGGACAACGCGGUCGCGCGAGAGGAGGAGGGGGGGCAGACUCCUUUUGUCUCUUCCGGAACAAGUGGACUAUCAUGUUUUAUCCAUGUGCCCGACAAUCAAAUCAAGUCAGAUAGUGACUCCAACUUCUUAUUAA